rnacentral:rRNA from 1 species
AGUGAACGCUGGCGGUAGGCCUAACACAUGCAAGUCGAACGGCAGCACAGUAAGAGCUUGCUCUUACAGGUGGCGAGUGGCGGACGGGUGAGGAAUACAUCGGAAUCUACUUUUUCGUGGGGGAUAACGUAGGGAAACUUACGCUAAUACCGCAUACGACCUACGGGUGAAAGCAGGGGAUCUUCGGACCUUGCGCGAUUGAAUGAGCCGAUGUCGGAUUAGCUAGUUGGCGGGGUAAAGGCCCACCAAGGCGACGAUCCGUAGCUGGUCUGAGAGGAUGAUCAGCCACACUGGAACUGAGACACGGUCCAGACUCCUACGGGAGGCAGCAGUGGGGAAUAUUGGACAAUGGGCGCAAGCCUGAUCCAGCCAUACCGCGUGGGUGAAGAAGGCCUUCGGGUUGUAAAGCCCUUUUGUUGGGAAAGAAAAGCAGCAGGUUAAUACCCCGCUGUUCCGACGGUACCCAAAGAAUAAGCACCGGCUAACUUCGUG